UACGUAGGGUGCGAGCGUUGUCCGGAAUUUAUUGGGGCGUAAAAGGGCUCGUAGGCGGUCUGUCACGUCGGGAGUGAAAAACACGGGGCUUAACCCCGUGCCUGCUUCCGAUACGGGCAGACUAGAGGUAUGCAGGGGAGAACGGAAUUCCUGGUGUAGCGGUGAAAUGCGCAGAUAUCAAGGAGGAACACCGGUGGCGAAGGCGGGUUCUCUGGGCAAUUACCUGACGCUGGAGGAGCGAAAAGUGUGGGGGAGCGAAC
rnacentral:rRNA from 1 species